rnacentral:lncRNA from 1 species
ACCCACUCGUGCAACAUGUUUUUCCCCCAGGACGGCGUGAAAAGGGCCAGGAUUCGCCCGGGGACUGAACCUCCCUUUCUGCUGUGGGGGGAGACAUCGCGGUGCCCGUGGGGACGUCGAGGACAAAUGUCAGGUUUUGGCCCCUCGAUGUACAUUUUCGUGAAUGAAGGUGCACCUCCCUUUCCCAUGUGCGCCAUUGUUCAGGCUGGCGUGUUUACCGUUCCCGUUUCAGCGGGGGGACUGCAGAGCGGGACGGGCGCUGUGCAAGGACGCUCGGACAAAUUGCUCCAUGAGGAAGCCGGGGCUGAAAUCGCUUCGGUUGCUGCUGGCUUCCCGCGGCGGCCAGUUCCCACGGGGAGACGUUUCAUCGCAGACCCGCGCGGGAAUUGAAGGCAGCCCUGGGCCUUCCUCCUCCUCCCCGCGCAGGGAAAAAGCAGAUUUAUCGCACCGAAAAGGUCCCCGGCAGCAGCUGGCCCUGGUGACAACCUGCCGCCAACAUCCGCUGGAGCUGUGCUGCCUUUUUCCCGGUGGCAACCCCGGAGAGGUCGGCGUCUUGUUCCGCACCUGGGAGCCUCCAGCAAGGAAUAUUUCUGCCUGGGACAGGCUUGGCCUUCUCGUGUAACUGUAAAAGGAGGGUUGAAGUUCACAAAUUAACAGAUUAUUAACCGCGGCUCUAAAAGUAACCAUAGAAACGGCGCGGUCGGAGGGGCAAGGAGCUCUCCGAGG